rnacentral:rRNA from 1 species
GGGACACGUGGUAUCCUGUCUGAAUAUGGGGGGACCAUCCUCCAAGGCUAAAUACUCCUGACUGACCGAUAGUGAACCAGUACCGUGAGGGAAAGGCGAAAAGAACCCCGGCGAGGGGAGUGAAAAAGAACCUGAAACCGUGUACGUACAAGCAGUGGGAGCACCUUCGGGUGUGACUGCGUACCUUUUGUAUAAUGGGUCAGCGACUUAUAUUCUGUAGCAAGGUUAACCGUAUAGGGGAGCCGCAGGGAAACCGAGUCUUAACUGGGCGUUAAGUUGCAGGGUAUAGACCCGAAACCCGGUGAUCUAGCCAUGGGCAGGUUGAAGGUUGGGUAACACUAACUGGAGGACCGAACCGACUAAUGUUGAAAAAUUAGCGGAUGACUUGUGGCUGGGGGUGAAAGGCCAAUCAAACCGGGAGAUAGCUGGUUCUCCCCGAAAGCUAUUUAGGUAGCGCCUCGUGAAUUCAUCUUCGGGGGUAGAGCACUGUUUCGGCUAGGGGGUCAUCCCGACUUACCAACCCGAUGCAAACUACGAAUACCGAAGAAUGUUAUCACGGGAGACACACGGCGGGUGCUAACGUCCGUCGUGAAGAGGGAAACAACCCAGACCGCCAGCUAAGGUCCCAAAGUCAUGGUUAAGUGGGAAACGAUGUGGGAAGGCACAGACAGCCAGGAUGUUGGCUUAGAAGCAGCCAUCAUUUAAAGAAAGCGUAAUAGCUCACUGGUCGAGUCGGCCUGCGCGGAAGAUGUAACGGGGCUAAACCAUGCACCGAAGCUGCGGCAGCGACACUAUGUGUUGUUGGGUAGGGGAGCGUUCUGUAAGCCUGC